UUCCCACUGAUUCGUGGGUAGUUAUUUUCUGUUUAGUGUGUUGUUUCACCUGACAGGACUGCUAUCCAAAAAAUAUGGCUCCAUCUAUGGUUCACUUUGGACCCAAGAAAGUGGUUGUUCUGGCAGGAUACAAGAUGGUCAAGCAGGCGCUGGUCAACCAUGCAGAGGAGUUUGGGGACAGGGGAACGCCGCCUGUGUUCUAAGAUUUCACCAGUGGACAUGGAAUUCUGGUUGCCAAUGGAGACUCAUGGAAAGAGAUGAGAUGCUUUGCCGUAGCGAACCUUAGACUUUGGCAUGGGCAAGAAAGGAAGUCAGGAGGAAAUUCGCUACCUUAUUCAAUUGUUAGAAAAAACAUGAGGGAAAAAUUUGAAGUUACGAUUUUUGAAUACCCAAAUAAGAUAACAAAUAUAUACAUGUUCUUAGUUUUGCUAAUUCUCUUUCUGUUGGGCUUUGUGACAGGUAAAGCAUUUGACACAACCCAGCCAAUGAAUUAUGAUGUCUCCAAUGUAAUCUCCAACAUUGUGUAUGGCAGCAGGUUUGAAUACUCUGACCCCAAGAUCCAAGCCAAUGAGAACCUCCAGAAUUAGUGGCUCUGUUUCAAUGCAGGUACAUGAUGUUUACUUUGUUUCUCACUCUUAGAGAAUAAUGCCAAACUGUUCACACUUGACUAAACCAGGAAAAUAAAAUAAAUAUUCCAUUUGUAGUAGGCUACAUUCAUGCUUUACUUUUUGUUUAUGGGAAGAUAGUGGUACAACAUGUUCCCAUGGCUGGGGCCUUGGCUGAAAACCAAUAAGCUUUUGUUAAAGAAUAUUGACAACAAGAAGGAAAUGAGGGAACUGGUGUGUGGGCUGAAGAAGACCCAGAACUUCAACCGUGUAUAAACUUUUUGAUAAUACAAGGGUUAAAAUUCUUGAAAUGAAUAACUUGCAUCUAAGGCAGGGGUGUCAAACUCAUUCAUUGGAGGGCCUACUGUCUGCAGGUUUUUGUUUUUUCCUUUCAAUUAAGCCCUAAAC